CUUAGAGAGUCGGGAGUUAUCAAAGGAAAUUCCCACUGAAGAAGAGCUGAUGGCAGUCUCUCUUUCGGCAGUUUUCCUGGUGGGCUUUGCUGAUGCUUGAGGCAGAGGAGGGGCAGAUUGGGAGGUCCCUGUAGAAAUCGUUGAACAAGAAAUAAACAAAAUAAAAAUCUAAAAGCUCAUUAUCUGCCCACGCUGGGGAUAGGGCCUCAGCAGCACUCAGGGCCAGAUCACACUGUGGAAAGUUGGCUGAGCCCUGCCCUCUGGGCACAAGGAAAAGUGUCUCUCCUGCCAGGACCACUGUGUAAACAUCCUUUCCCUACAGGACCCCAUGGCGUGGGGCUCCAGAGGACUGCAGGGUGAGGAUUCGCGUGGAGACAGAUCUCAACCUCCUGCCGUCCCUUCUCAGGGUUUGCAUGUUUAAAGUGUGACGGUGGUCGUGGGGAAGGUGGAUCCAGAGGCAAGAGGGAGAGAAAGGACAGGAAAGCCCUCGGCCUGCAGCAUGAGCAGAAUCCAGAAAGGAUUUCUGCAGGAGGUGAUGACCGAAAAGAGACCCAACACCUAACGGGAGAUAAGCACGCUGAAGCACACGGAAGGAGCUGAGUGACGGAGGAGAGGGAGGCGAUCUCAGGUCGGGGGAGGAGAUGUGGGGAAGGCAUGGCAACGUGGGUAGUCACAUGUCCAUUGGGUGCGAAGAAGAGAAGGAAGAGCCAUGAGAAAUGAACCAGAUCACCUCGUUGCCCAAAGCUGGGAAGAACAUUUCUGACCUGGCGUUGGAUCAGUGGACACAGCCAUUGGAACCGUCAGAUCCCCCUGGCAUUACAGCAGGACUGCCCUUUAGGACACGUUAGCCGUUCACCUUUUGCCCUGGCUUUGCAUAAGGAGCAGAGAGUGUGCUGGCCAACAGGACCCCGCUGGUGCACCGAGGUCUCCACCUCCAAGAAAUCCAUGUCAGAGCCUCCCCGUUGCCUUCAUCAAGUCCUCAGACUUGAGCCUGUGGCGACGGCAAACGUGCUGGUUCCAUGGCCUGCCUGAUCUGUGUGUGAAGUGUUGCUGUGUGACCGUAGACUUGUGACGACGUCUCUCUGAUUUUCUUCACAGGACCAGGUGAGGACUGAAUGAAAUAUUAUGGAGACAGCUCUUAGCUCAGUGUCUGACUCCUGUAGGGUCUCAAAAUGAACCUCAUCUUUCAAAAAUAAUAAAGAAAUCUAUGAAGUUAAUCUCUUUCCUCCU
rnacentral:lncRNA from 1 species